CGGGGCGUAGCGCAGCCUGGUAGCGCACUCGCUUGGGGUGCGAGUGGUCGGC
rnacentral:tRNA from 1 species